rnacentral:rRNA from 1 species
UACGGGGGGGGCAAGCGUUGUUCGGAAUUACUGGGCGUAAAGGGCUCGUAGGCGGCCAACUAAGUCCGACGUGAAAUCCCCAGGCUUAACCUGGGAACUGCGUCUGAUACUGGAUGGCUUGAGUGUGGGAGAGGGAUGCGGAAUUCCAGGUGUAGCGGUGAAAUGCGUAGAUAUCUGGAGGAACACCGGUGGCGAAGGCGGCAUCCUGGACCAUUACUGACACUGAAAAGCGAAAGCCAGGGGAGCAAACGGG